rnacentral:rRNA from 1 species
AGUUCCAAAAGCGUAUAUUAAAGUUGUUGCAGCUAAAAGCUCGUAGUUGGAUUUCUGGCAGGAGCGACCGGUCACACACUCUGUAUGUGAACUUGUGUUGUCUCUGGUGUUCCUUGGGGAGAUCCUGUUUGGCAUUACGUUGUCAGGCAGGGGAUACCAAUCAUUUCCUGUGAAAAAAAUAGAGUGUUUAAAGCAGGCUUAUGCCGUUGAAUAUAUUAGCAUGGAAUAAUAAGAUAGGACUUCGGAACUAUUUUGUUGGUUUGCGUUACGAAGUAAUGAUUAAUAGGGACAGUUGGGGGUAUUCGUAUUUCGUUGUCAGAGGUGAAAUUCUUGGAUUUCCGAAAGACGAACUACUGCGAAAACAUUUACCAAGGAUGUUUUCA